rnacentral:sRNA from 1 species
UUGACAGCAGCAGAGACUGAGGUCCUCUAUUUAUCCAUAGAAGAGUUAUAGCAUGGCCACUUGCAGUGUAAGAUUCCCCCCACUCCUGCUACCAGCGUUCCUCAAGUCUGUUCUGAUACAGACAUCUUUAACUUUAGGGACAAGUUUACCUUCUUAUUCUACAUAAUCCUUGAUCUAAUGUCUACC